AACGAACGCUGGCGGCAUGCCUAACACAUGCAAGUCGAACGAAGGCUUCGGCCUUAGUGGCGCACGGGUGCGUAACGCGUGGGAAUCUGCCCCUCGGUUCGGAAUAACAGUUAGAAAUGACUGCUAAUACCGGAUGAUGACUUCGGUCCAAAGAUUUAUCGCCGAGGGAUGAGCCCGCGUAAGAUUAGGUGGUUGGUGGGGUAAAGGCCUACCAAGCCGACGAUCUUUAGCUGGUCUGAGAGGAUGAUCAGCCACACUGGGACUGAGACACGGCACAGACUCCUACGGGAGGCAGCAGUGGUGAAUAUUGGACAAUGGGCGAAAGCCUGAUCCAGCAAUGCCGCGUGAGUGAUGAAGGCCUUAGGGUUGUAAAGCUCUUUUACCAGGGAUGAUAAUGACAGUACCUGGAGAAUAAGCUCCGGCUAACUCCGUGCCAGCCGCCGCAGUAA
rnacentral:rRNA from 1 species